rnacentral:rRNA from 1 species
UACGAAGGGGGGCUAGCGUUGUUCGGAUUUACUGGGCGUAAAGCGCACGUAGGCGGAUUGUUAAGUCAGGGGGUGAAAUCCCGGAGCUCAACUCCGGAACUGCCUUUGAUACUGGCAAUCUUGAGACUGGAAGAGGUUAGUGGAAUUCCCAGUGUAGAGGUGAAAUUCGUAGAUAUUGGGAAGAACACCAGUGGCGAAGGCGGCUAACUGGUCCAGUACUGACGCUGAGGUGCGAAAAGCGUGGGGGAGCGAACGGG